UGGGGGAUAUUGCACAAUGGGCGCAAGCCUGAUGCAGCGACGCCGCGUGGGGGAUGAAGGCCUUCGGGUUGUAAACUUCUUUUGCUCUGAACAAGGCGCACUUUGGGGUGUGUUGAGUGUAGGGGUUGAUUAGCGCCGGCUAACUACGUGCCAGCAGCCGCGGUAAUACGUAGGGCGCGAGCGUUGUCCGGAAUUAUUGGGCGUAAAGGGCUUGUAGGUGGCUGGUUGCGUCUGUCGUGAAAGCUCAUGGCUUAACUGUGGGUCUGCGGUGGGUACGGGCUGGCUUGAGUGCAGUAGGGGAGGCUGGAAUUCCUGGUGUAGCGGUGGAAUGCGCAGAUAUCAGGAGGAAUACCGGUGGCGAAGGCGGGUCUCUGGGCUGUUACUGACACUGAGGAGCGAAAGCAUGGGGAGCGAACAGG
rnacentral:rRNA from 1 species